rnacentral:lncRNA from 1 species
CUCUGCUGCCACUGCUGGAUCCGCUGCGGCAGGAUCUCGUAGAUCCGGUUGGCAGCCAGUUUGAUGCCGCAGGCCUCGCUGCAAUACUUGGACGGGGGCCGGGCGGGCCGGGUGCAGCCGGGCCCCAGGCAUUGCCCGCUGGCCGCCGGGUCGCGGGCGUCGCUGCGCUCCGGGUGCCGGUUCCGCUCACGGUGCCGGGGCUUCUGCCGGUGCCGUUUGUAGCGCUCCUCCUUCU